rnacentral:rRNA from 1 species
AAAUUGAAGAGUUUGAUCAUGGCUCAGAUUGAACGCUGGCGGCAGGCCUAACACAUGCAAGUCGAACGGUAACAGAAAGCAGCUUGCUGCUUUGCUGACGAGUGGCGGACGGGUGAGUAAUGUCUGGGAAACUGCCUGAUGGAGGGGGAUAACUACUGGAAACGGUAGCUAAUACCGCAUAACGUCGCAAGACCAAAGAGGGGGACCUUAGGGCCUCUUGCCAUCGGAUGUGCCCAGAUGGGAUUAGCUAGUAGGUGGGGUAACGGCUCACCUAGGCGACGAUCCCUAGCUGGUCUGAGAGGAUGACCAGCCACACUGGAACUGAGACACGGUCCAG